rnacentral:rRNA from 3 species
AAAUUGAAGAGUUUGAUCAUGGCUCAGAUUGAACGCUGGCGGCAGGCCUAACACAUGCAAGUCGAACGGUAACAGAAAGCAGCUUGCUGCUUUGCUGACGAGUGGCGGACGGGUGAGUAAUGUCUGGGAAACUGCCUGAUGGAGGGGGAUAACUACUGGAAACGGUAGCUAAUACCGCAUAACGUCGCAAGACCAAAGAGGGGGACCUUCGGGCCUCUUGCCAUCGGAUGUGCCCAGAUGGGAUUAGCUUGUUGGUGGGGUAACGGCUCACCAAGGCGACGAUCCCUAGCUGGUCUGAGAGGAUGACCAGCCACACUGGAACUGAGACACGGUCCAGACUCCUACGGGAGGCAGCAGUGGGGAAUAUUGCACAAUGGGCGCAAGCCUGAUGCAGCCAUGCCGCGUGUAUGAAGAAGGCCUUCGGGUUGUAAAGUACUUUCAGCGGGGAGGAAGGGAGUAAAGUUAAUACCUUUGCUCAUUGACGUUACCCGCAGAAGAAGCACCGGCUAACUCCGUGCCAGCAGCCGCGGUAAUACGGAGGGUGCAAGCGUUAAUCGGAAUUACUGGGCGUAAAGCGCACGCAGGCGGUUUGUUAAGUCAGAUGUGAAAUCCCCGGGCUCAACCUGGGAACUGCAUCUGAUACUGGCAAGCUUGAGUCUCGUAGAGGGGGGUAGAAUUCCAGGUGUAGCGGUGAAAUGCGUAGAGAUCUGGAGGAAUACCGGUGGCGAAGGCGGCCCCCUGGACGAAGACUGACGCUCAGGUGCGAAAGCGUGGGGAGCAAACAGGAUUAGAUACCCUGGUAGUCCACGCCGUAAACGAUGUCGACUUGGAGGUUGUGCCCUUGAGGCGUGGCUUCCGGAGCUAACGCGUUAAGUCGACCGCCUGGGGAGUACGGCCGCAAGGUUAAAACUCAAAUGAAUUGACGGGGGCCCGCACAAGCGGUGGAGCAUGUGGUUUAAUUCGAUGCAACGCGAAGAACCUUACCUGGUCUUGACAUCCACAGAACUUUCCAGAGAUGGAUUGGUGCCUUCGGGAACUGUGAGACAGGUGCUGCAUGGCUGUCGUCAGCUCGUGUUGUGAAAUGUUGGGUUAAGUCCCGCAACGAGCGCAACCCUUAUCCUUUGUUGCCAGCGGUCCGGCCGGGAACUCAAAGGAGACUGCCAGUGAUAAACUGGAGGAAGGUGGGGAUGACGUCAAGUCAUCAUGGCCCUUACGACCAGGGCUACACACGUGCUACAAUGGCGCAUACAAAGAGAAGCGACCUCGCGAGAGCAAGCGGACCUCAUAAAGUGCGUCGUAGUCCGGAUUGGAGUCUGCAACUCGACUCCAUGAAGUCGGAAUCGCUAGUAAUCGUGGAUCAGAAUGCCACGGUGAAUACGUUCCCGGGCCUUGUACACACCGCCCGUCACACCAUGGGAGUGGGUUGCAAAAGAAGUAGGUAGCUUAACCUUCGGGAGGGCGCUUACCACUUUGUGAUUCAUGACUGGGGUGAAGUCGUAACAAGGUAACCGUAGGGGAACCUGCGGUUGGAUCACCUCCUUACCUUAAAGAAGC